CUGGGAGGAACCAGCAGGCUCUGCACUUGACACAACUGUGUGCAAUUGCUGGGGCUGUUUACUUCCCUCUGGGGGCAGGAGCAGUCCUUGGGUUGGAGAAUUGAGUGUUGGAGAGCAACAGAGCUCGGUUUGCAGCUCCUUUAAUUGAUGUGAGAACAGCUGGAGCCGUCCUGCACUGCAUGGCAUGCAGCCCUGAGGACCCUUAUGCUUGGCUGCUGCAGCUUGCCUAUCUCCCUGGGUUUGGAGCACCCAAGCGAGUCAGAUUUGAUCUGGGAGGAACAGCAGCACCCUGGGCCAGGUGGGAAGUUCUCAAUACUUGCCUGAAGAGACUGCAGCAGGGAAAAAGGCUGAAACACCAAUUUGGAAGAGGAUUUCUUCCAAGGAUUUACUCCUGGAGCCCUCUCCCAUAGGCUCUGUGUGUGGUGUGGGGCUGGCAGUGGGGCAGCAGGGAGGCAGAGGGCCCUGAGCCCAGCCCAGCCAUGGGGCACUCAUUGGAGCUCUGUGAGGUGCUGCUAACGAGGCAGUGCCACUUAGCAGGCCCUGGGAGGGAGCUCAGCAAUGUGCCUGGGCCACUUCUUCUUGAGCCACGGCCGCCUCUCGCAUGAAGAGAGAUCUCAGGAGUGGGAAUUAAUUUCAAAAGGCACUUUUUUUUUCCCCUUAUCUUUUGCUCAUUAAGUUGUUCAGGAAAAAUUAACUAAUGAGAUUAUUUGCCAGAAAAAUUGUCCAGCUGGUGCUCCUGAGCGCUGGUUUGUGCUGUGGAGGGUGCCAUGUUGUUAACAGCUCAGAGAUGGCGUUGAGCACUGCCUGUUUCCCAGCUGCAUGCAGGGCUCUUGCUGAGCUUCUCCUGAGAGCUUCUCUUAUUUUUUUCCCCCUUUUUUUUUUUUUAAAUCUGCAUGUGGAUCUCAUGCCUCCUUCCUGAUAGCAGUCACGUGGAUGCUGCCUGCAUCUGAGCUGAGCAUAUGGCUCAGCAUUCCAGGCACAGUGGCUGAGCCCUCCUGUAGGGAAGGUAACAUCUGCCAGCUCCCGCAGCCUGUAAUCAAACCUACAGAGGCAGAACUGCCAAAGUCGUGUCAAAGUGGCAAAUUUACAUCCUGGGGCAAGAGGCUUCACUUCUGGCAGGCUGUUGGCUUGAUUCGGGUCUUAAUUAUUGUCAUAGUUGUAACUUUGAUGUUAGGAAGGAAAACAGAGCCUGCUGAUGGGAACUUGGUGCUCCAAGCGCUGCCCUGGAGUCCCACCAGGUUUACCUUCACCUGGGAAGGCUCAAAGUCUCUCCUGUUUCCAUUGGGAUCCCAAAGGCAUCUACAGGUAUCCCUGGGGAUUCGUGGAGUAAAGUGAAAGCUUCCAACUCCUAUAGGAAGGGCUAUGAAGCUGCACAGGUGGCUGCUUCUCAUCCUGGAUUCCUGCCUGGUGCACAGGCAGAAGUUCCAGAUCUUGCUGCAGGUGCUCCAGUGCAUCUUCAACCCUAUUUUGUGAUGGGAUGGAAAUGGAGGCUGACAGAACUCAGCAAAUCUGAACCAAAAAUGCCCUUAUUUGGGGAGGUAUUAAUAGAAGAGCUCUACAAAGAUGGGAGUAUUAUUAGAAGGUCCUAAUAUAGCUUAAUCUUAGCAUGCUGCAUCUAAUUUUGGAGCGGGGCUACUUUAGAAAGAAAGAGAGAGAAUUAUAAAACAGCAGUGAUGAUAGGAGGCUUAGAGAUUGUUGUGGAUGAGGAAAGGUCAGAAUAAUUUUCUGGCUUGUUGAUGGAGUGGUGGCACGUGAUGUGCACCUGAAAACCCUGUGGAGUUUCCUUUCUCCGAGGAUUUUGGAAGAGUGGAGCAGCUGCAGAGGUCUGGAUAGGCUGGGUGUCAGCACUCUGAGUUAUGGCAGUUGCAGCCACCAGGCAAAACCCAGAGUUCUACUGACAAAGAUUGGAGGUAACUCUGUGUUCAGCAGUCAGAAAGCAAGGGAAGGGCUGGAGUCAUUAAACACCACUUACAUCCCAGCUGUCAGGAAACAAAUUGGAUUUUUCAAGAGAAAACAUGGGAAUAAUGUUGAUUUUUCUUUAUGAAAACUCCAUUGAAAGCUUUUUCCACUGCAGUUCUUCCUGGAUCUUCAUUUUAACCAAAAUGCCUUGCAAGAAAUUAGCUUAAAUUAUUAUCCUUCUGAUACAAGAGGAAAUACUCAGAAUUGUCAAAUGAGGGACUGCACAUCAAAGGUAGAACAGAUAAAUACAUUUCACUCGUGUCGUUUUUUAUGGCAUCUACCUUAAGCUAUUAAAAGUUUUACUGCAGUAGUUACAUGUACACUGAUUUGCAUUUUAGACUGCAU